GCAGUAGCCGCGGUAAUACGAAGGGGGCUAGCGUUGCUCGGAAUUACUGGGCGUAAAGGGCGCGUAGGCGGCGCUCCAAGUUAGGCGUGAAAUUCCCGGGCUCAACCUGGGGACUGCGCUUAAGACUGGAGUGCUUGAGGAUGGAAGAGGGUUGUGGAAUUCCCAGUGUAGAGGUGAAAUUCGUAGAUACUGGAUGGAACACCGGUGGCGAAAGCGGCUCUCUGGCCCGGAUCUGACGCUGAGGCGCGAAAGCGUGGGGAGCAAACAGGAUUAGAUACCCCUGUAGUCCCUGUCUCUUAUAA
rnacentral:rRNA from 1 species